UACGAGGGGGGCGAGCGUUGUUCGGAAUUAUUGGGCGUAAAGGGUGCGUAGGCGGUUCCGCAAGUCCUGUGUGAAAUCUUCGGGCUCAACUCGGAGACGCCACUCGAUACUGCUAUGACUCGAGUCCGGUAGGGGAGUGCGGAAUUCCUGGUGUAGCGGUGAAAUGCGCAGAUAUCAGGAGGAACACCGGUGGUGUAAACGGCUUUCUGGACCAUAACUGACACUGAGGCACGAAAGCGUGGGUAGCAAACAGG
rnacentral:rRNA from 1 species